AGGCUGCUUGCAACUGCCUCGUGACGGAGUCAUUGGUCGUCAGAGUUUCAGAUUUCGGGAUGGCCAGGAGUGUUUGUGUGGGAAUUGUUCAGCAAGAGCAAAAUUCCAUUUGAACAUUGUUUUCAACUCCGAGGCUGUGGAUAAAAUCUCAGCUGGACUGAGGCUCUUCAGACCCAAGAUGUCUCCCGAAAGAGUGUACAUGCUGAUGAAGAACUGCUGGUAAGAGGCAACAAGCUGGGCAGUCAGAAAGGGGGGAACACGUGCGUCUGCUGAUGCCCUCACCUACGCCCAGCGAGGAUCCCCGAACUGGAUCUUCAUGGGACAACUUCCUGCAGAGCCUCCAGCUGGUCCCACGUCGCAGAGGAUGGAUCUGCUGCCUGUAACCCCCCAGGUUAGUGUUAAUGCACACAUUUUACACAUUACACAUUAAUACACACUUACACACACUCACAUACAUUUUAGUCU